CUACUACCGAUUGAAUGGUUUAGUGAGGACUCCUGAUUGGCGCCGCCGCCCCGGCAACGGAGCAGCGGUCUGCCGAAAAGUUGUUCAAACUUGAUCAUUUAGAGGAAGUAAAAGUCGUAACAAGGUUUCCGUAGGUGAACCUGCAGAAGGAUC
rnacentral:misc_RNA from 1 species